GAGUUUGAUCCUGGCUCAGGAUGAACGCUGGCGGCGUGCCUAAUACAUGCAAGUCGAGCGGUAACACUUCGGGUGACGAGCGGCGGACGGCAGAGUAACACGUAGGAACGUACCCCAAACUAGAGGGAUAAGCACCGGAAACGGUGUCUAAUACCGCAUGUGAUCUUCGGAUUAAAGCUUCGGCGGUUUGGGAACGGCCUGCGCAUGAUUAGCUUGUUGGUGAGGUAAAAGCUCACCAAGGCGACGAUCAUUAGCUGGUCUGAGAGGAUGAUCAGCCUGACUGGGACUGAGAACGGCCCAGACUCCUACGGGAGGCAGCAGUGGGGAAUAUUGGACAAUGGGGGCAACCCUGAUCCAGCAAUGCCGCGUGAGUGAUGAAGGCCUUAGGGUUGUAAAGCUCUUUUGCCGGGGACGAUGAUGACGGUACCCGGAGAAUAAGCCCCGGCUAACUUCGUGCCAGCAGCCGCCGUAAG
rnacentral:rRNA from 1 species